AAAAGUUUAACCUCUAGGACAUUUUAUCAAUGAUGCAUCUUGUUUUGAAGCUCUUUAGAUUUGUACAAAAAAGUCACUGAAUUUUAAAGUCUGAAAUACAAUUUGCACCCUAAUGUUAGAGUACUAACACGCUAAACUUCAAAAUGCGUCUCCUUGCACUCUGUAUAGUUAACGUGUUAAGCUGCACACUUCAAAUUUUCAACCGGUCAAAUGUCUUUCUAAAUUUUUAAGGGUAGAAGUGUCAGACGUUAGUACAUUAAAAAUAAAUUAAACUAAACUAAACAAACCAAACCAAAUGUAGUCUUGUUAAAACAACUACCAUUAUAUAGACAUAAUACUACCAAUAUAUUACAACAUGUUAAAUUAAAAUACCAAAUCAAUGUUGCUGGACAAUUUCUAAUAUGCCAAAUCAAGUAUAGAAUCUAAUCCAUGGAAAAACUAUACACUAAAAUUUCUAAAUCACAAUUCAAAAUUUGUGUUAUCAAUUCCACCUCGUCUUCACAAAAACUUUAACUUCAACAAAGAAAUCAGAGAUGGAGUCUAUAAACUUUACUCAUAGAGCGAACGAUUGAAGAAGGGCUAGCUAUUAAUAGUGUUAGGGCCAGCGGGGUCCCUGGAUCACUACCCUAUAAAUAGGUUAAAUGAAAUAUAAAACUUGGUUAAGACUACUUAAUAAACGAAGUAGUUUUACCUCUUAGGAUUAAGUCUUCCAUUUUAGGGUUUUACAAAACAAAUUGAUUAUAGAUUUACAACAUAGCCCAAAGGUAAGUAAAUUAGUAAGAGCAAAACGACGUCAAAUAGACUGAUUAGAUAAAUAAAAGAGCCUUGGGGUCGUUGAUACCUUAUUUUCUACUUCGUUACUUCUCUUUGCGGCAACUUCUCUGCUGUAACCCUCGGCUUACGUCUACUUUUCCUUCCCCCUUUCUUUGAGAUAUACGAGGUAAUCUUCAAUUGUAGUCCAGAUUUAUUAAAUUUGAUAUGGAUUCACCCUAAUGCUUGAAUUAGAGAUCAAUUAUGGGGGCAAGCGACCAUAAUGCUUCUUUUUUUGACCAAUAUCUGGUUCAUUAAGGUGCACGCCUUUAAGUCAUUGGCGCUCACCUAGGCUUACCAAAGCGCUCACCUAGGCUCCCAACGACGCUCACCUAGGCGCCCAAGGCCCCCAAGGAGCUCACCUAGGCACCCCAAGUCGCUCGCAACAUACUCACCAAGGUGCUUGCCUUACGACCCUUAAUAAAGGCGUAGCUUUGCCUUGCCCUGCACAUACUUGUCAUGGUGUCACCAUGGCGUCUCCUAGGCAAGGCCUUGGCAUCCUUCCACAACAAGAAGCAAUAUGGAAAGUUGGCAACACUCACCUUUGGGGAGGCCGCAAAGGUGCCUUGGCAGCUAGGCGUCUACAAGUUAUUGUGGAAGCGACGCCGUGGAUGUCUAGCUGCCAAGGCGAGUGCCUUAGUAGCUGGAUCGAUUUUUAAGUUGGGUUUCCCAUAUCCCACAGACUUUACCCAUAACUUGUCGAAUUAAAAGCGGGGAGUAGAAAACUAAGUCUUCUACGACUUUUAUUUGUCGAUUACGAAGAGGCCCUAAACAGGACCUCGAAGAGAAUCCCUAAAAAACUUCGAGGUGAAGACGCCUAUUAGAUGCAACAACGCGCGGCGUGAGUCAUCUACGACAACCACACCAUUGUACUGUCGACCGCAAUCUUUUGUUGCAUUAGGAAAAAGGAAGAAUACAAAGAAGAACUGCAUGAAAAAGAAGAAGGAUGGGGUGAGGUGGAGAAGAAUAAAGAGAUUUUCGACUACUAGCUCUGUUUUUUCCUCUCUCUCUCCUUUCAACUUGAUUGCUAGUUGUCAUCCACUAAGAUGUUAUAUAAUGAGUCAUAUUUCCCCCUUAACAAAAAUAGAAUUGUUGUGUUCCACGUGGUGUGUUCCUACAAUCUAGCCAUGAUUAAUUUUCUUUUUAACAAAAUUAUAAAUAUUUCUAUUUCUUUCAUAAAAAUGUUGUAAAAUGAUUAUUUUAUUAUUUUAAAAAGUAACCCUCUUUCUCCAUGAAUAUUAGUUACAAUUUAAUUGUAUUGCAGGGACAAUUUUAACCUUAAAAGUUAUAAUUUUUAUCAUAUAAAUCAUAAAACUCAUUUAACUACAACUAGAUAUAUAAAUGAUAAUUUUUUUCCCUGAAAUUAAAUAUAUAUUGCAUAUUUGGUAAUUAUUAUCAAGGUCUCGUGUAAUUGUUUUAAUGUAUUUUUGAAGUACAAUGUGUGUGUAUAUAUAAUUAUACAUAUACAAUGUUGUAUUUUUAUUACUUGUAANNNNNNNNNNNNNNNNNNNNNNNNNNNNNNNNNNNNNNNNNNNNNNNNNNNNNNNNNNNNNNNNNNNNNNNNNNNNNNNNNNNNNNNNNNNNNNNNNNNNCCAGAGUUUUCAACAACAUACUUAGAUUUUAAAGCUUCCCAAAUCUUCUUAGCACUUUCAUACGGAUAAUAUAUCUCAAACAGAGAAUUAGACAAAUAAUGUAACAAAUAUCGACGACACGUACGAUUGUCCUUAACAUAAUCUCUUUUUUCAGAUUUAUCAGAAUCAGAUUGUUCAAUAAUUUCAAUUGCAGCAGGAGUAACAUCAUUAACAGUAACAUCAGGAGCAUCCACAUACAAUACAUAUUCCAAAUUCAUGGUCUCUAAAUAAAACAAUAUAACUUCAGACCAUCUCUUAAAAUUAGAGCCAUCAAAACGUUCAAUUUUAGACAAGUCUAAAGUAGAUUUCAUCAUCUUGUUAAUAACUGUCAAAUCGCUUUUUAGAUUGUUGGUAACAAACAGGUUUAAUAGCAGUGCAACAGUCCAAUAGCUGUAACAAUAGUAGUGUAGCAGCAGUGUAUUAACAAGAAGACUCAAAAAAUAAAAUUGGAACAACUUAGCUGUAGAUGACAGAAGCCGAGGCGCAGCGAAUGCUACUGUCCUAAAAAGCGAUUUCGCCCCCACUGAUAACAGGUACAAUUGGGUUACAGGCGGUCACUCUCUAGGAUUCAACGGCGAAAUCUCCGAUUGUGUGUGCUCACAGAAGGAGAUUCUGGACUUGUCUAUGUGGAUUGCCCAAGAACCGAGUUUAUAUAUAUACGCGAAGCAAGAACAGAGUUUAUAUAUAUACGUGAAGCAGGAACAGAGAUUGCAGUGGAAGAACAGAAAGAUUAUGUUUACUGUGCAGAACAAGUCUUGUAUUUUAUAGGGAGAAGAAGAAGAUUACCGUUGGUGAAUAGAACGUUGGAGAAAACAGUAACGUAAAAACACUAAAUAAGGUUUACGUUAGGGCAAUUUAAGUAACAAAAAAGAAACUCGGAUUGGCACCCCUCCUGCACGGGCGUAUUACGCGCACACACGCACUAAGGUUUUCUGACCGAAAGUCCGAGAACCAAGCUCGGUUAGCCCAAUUCCUUAGCUGUCCUCAUGUGCGCGUGCCCAUCCCUUUUACACAACCAAGUUACAAGCCUAAAACCAACAUUUACUAAUAUACACAAAGAAUGUUUCCAAGAUAGACGAUAUGGGACUAUGAAAAAAAUUAUGAAUUUUCGAGCAUAAUCAACAUCUCGAAAUGGACGCUAGCUACAAUCUUAAAAAUUUAUUUAAACUCCUAAUGAUUAUUGAAACCGAGUGAAAUGGAUAUUAUACUUUCUGACAUCAAAUAAGAUUCGUGCAAUUAAUGGCAUUAACAACCUAAGAAAGUAUGAAUAUCUAUCCAUCUUGUCAAUCUGAAUCAAUCAUUAUGUCCCUCGCUUAAUUUAAUCAUCUUCCCUACCGACGUGUCUUUACAGAUUAGAAGACCUAUGGCUUGAUAAUAACCAAAUAGCAUCAUUAGUUGGUAUUGGAAGUGCAGUUGGUGGUUCUAGACUGAAGCUCAUAUCCAUCUCUCUUGAUCAGAAUCCAUGUGUAAGCUUAUCUACCACUAGAAGGAAGUAAAUUUCCAAAUUAUAGCCUCUAUUUGCUUAUAUUCAAUUCUUUGUUGACAUUUCAUCUUAGUUUCCUUUCUAAGCCGAGCUGUUUGAAAUUUACGUUGUUUUAUUUGAAUCUUAUUUGAUAUGGGAUUUUAUUCUCUUUUGACAACUUAACUUUUAGCGAGCCGAGACGAGGCGAGACGAGGCUAGAUGCCAAGCGAUGAGUCGUCUAGUGCAAAUUAUACAUGUGUAAACUAUGUGUGUGUGUGUGUAUAAGGGAUUGAUACACUGCCCAAGCUGGAUGUGGCCUUAUUUUUGGCCAGCUGAUUUCUUACCGUCCAUCUAAGAAACGAGCCGCGGUCACUUAAAGUAUGCGCAAGUAAUUUUUACGGAAUGUUUGAAGUAUCCGCAACUAAUCUGCAUAACUUUUUACGUUAAAAUAUCCAUAAGGGUGAGAACACUCGUUUUCUCUCCUAAAAUUAAUCUUUCACUUUCUUCGGUAAAACUUCAAAAUCCAUUAUCUUUGUCAUUACGAAUCCAAAAUUGUUGAUCUAUAUAUCAUUGGAAACGUCUUGAAAAGUUCAUCAAAACAAGAGUCAUUGUUGAUAUGUUUUGAAGUAGUUACAAUGCCAAAAGUUAUAGCCAAAGACUGCAACAGUGUAUUACAAAAAUACAAAAGUUUAACCUCUAGGUCAUUUUAUCAAUGAUGCAUCUUGUUUUGAAGCUCUUUGGAUUUGUACAAAAAAGUCACUGAAUUUUAAAGUCUGAAAUACAAUUUGCACCCUAAUGUUAGAGUACUAACACGCUAAACUUCAAAAUGCGUCUCCUUGCACUCUGUAUAGUUAACGUGUUAAGCUGCACACUUCAAAUUUUCAACCGGUCAAAUGUCUUUCUCAAUUUUUAAGGGUAGAAGUGUCAGACGUUAGUACAUUAAAAAUAAAUUAAACAAAACUAAACAAACCAAACCAAAUGUAGUCUUGUUAAAACAAACUACCAUUAUAUAGACACAAUACUACCAAUAUAUUACAACAUGUUAAAUUAAAAUACCAAAUCAAUGUUGCUUGACAAUUUCUAAUAUGCCAAAUCAAGUAAAGAAUCUAAUCCAUGGAAAAACAAUACACUAAAAUUUCUAAAUCACAAUUCAAAAUUUGUGUUAUCAAUUCCACCUCGUCUUCACAAAAACUUUAACUUCAACAAAGAAAUUAGAGAUGGAGUCUAUAAACUUUACUCAUAGAGCGAACGAUUGAAGAAGGGCUAGCUAUUAAUAGUGUCAGGGCCAGCGGGGUCCCUAGAUCACUACCCUAUAAAUAGGUUAAAUGAAAUAUAAAACUUGGCUAAGACUACUUAAUAAACGAAGUAGUUUUACCUCUUAGGAUUAAGUCUUCCAUUUUAGGGUUUUACAAAACAAAUUGAUUAUAGAUUUACAACAUAGCCCAAAGGUAAGUAAAUUAGUAAGAGCAAAACGACGUCAAAUAGUUUGAUUAGAUAAAUAAAAGAGCCUUGGGGUCGUUGAUACCUUAUUUUCUAUUUCGUUACUUCUCUUUGCGGCAACUUCUCUGCUGUAACCCUCGGCUUACGUCUACUUUUCCUUCCCCCUCUCUUUGAGAUAUACG
rnacentral:lncRNA from 1 species